ACGUGGUAGGCAAUUAUAGAAUUUUGAGUUUUAAGUCUUUAUGUUAAGAACUGACUUAUUUACGGAGUGUUUAGUGAGUGUGUGUGUUAUUUCAGAAAAUCACAGAAAUCUCGUAGAACUCCGAAGCACACAUUAAAAAGAUUUGUAUGAACACGCUGCAACUGGAUCUGUAACUGUUUAAAAAAAAUUGAGUUUGGUGACAAACCACACAAAUUACUCGCCAGACAACUUCGAAAAAAUGUGAGUGACAGAAUGAUUCACAAAGUUAAAUCUGCAUCUGGGGAAUUACUCUCUUCCCCCAAAGACAUCAAUGACAGAUUCCGGCAGUUUUAUGAGACUCUAUAUACAUCUAAAGCGGAUCCUAUAACCCCUUAAUUAUGCAAACAUUUUUGGAGGACUGUAAUCUUCCUGCCCUUGAACCAGGAAGAUUAUAACUUCCUGAAUAAGGAAAUAUCUCUUGAUGAAAUUCAAGAAACAAUUAAAUCUCUAAAGAGUGGCACCCCGGGCCCAGAUGGAUACCCUGGUGAAUUCUAUAAAACAUUCAGCAACAUGCUCUCUCCCUACCUGCACAAAAUGUUUGUUCAGGCCAAUGAGGAUGGAGCUCUCCCUUCAUUACAGUUAUACAUAAGAAGGGUAAGGAUCCAGAAGAGGUAGGGUCAUACAGACCAAUAUCUCUCCUUAAUACAGACCAAAAGAUUUUAGCAGGCUUAGCACUUUAAUUGGCAAAUUGGUCCAUUCGGAUCAGACCGGCUUUAUCCCUAACAGAAACGCAUUCUUCAAUCUCAAUAUUAUGUAUUCUCAGAUGUUACCCAACGUGGACCUUGCCGUCAUAUCUCUUGACGCCGAAAAGGCCUUUGACCAAGUUCCUACAGAAAUGUAAUAUUGGAGAUGAGUUCAUAAAUUGGAUCCAGCUUUUAUAUAGGAACCCCUGUGCCAGAAUACUCACUAACCAAUCAUUGUCGCCCCGAUUUAACCUUAACGGGGGGACAAGGCAGGGUUGUGCGCUGUCGCCUAUGCUCUUCGCCCUAAUUAUCGAACCGCUCGCUCAGACGAUUAGAUCUCAUGCAGCAAUCCACAGCUAUAAUACUAAAGAUACUCUAAAUAAGAUUUCCCUAUACGCAGAUGACAUCCUCCUCUUGAUGUGAUCAAUUUGUUUGGUACCUUCUCGGGAUACAGAAUAAAUUGGAACAAGAGUGAAUUAAUGCCCAUACGGUCGCAAAACACCUCCUGGCUAGAACCUCUCCCAUUUAAGUUAUCUUCAGAAAAAUUGACCUACCUAGGAAUUGUAGUUACCAAUCAAUACACCUUACUAUUUAAAGAGAAUUUCCCCCCUCUGAUACAAAAACUCAAAGCAAACAUACUUUUACAUAAACAUAUUUUGGAGAACUCUCCCAAUUUCUCUACUCGGAAGAAUUAAUGCCAUUAAAAUGGUCUUCUUCCCACAACUUCUCUACCUAUAUCAGAACAUCCCAGUAUUCAUACCUAAAUCCUUUCAUAAACAACUGGACUCAAUUAUCAAUCCUUUCAUCUGGGAUUAUAAAACACACAGGAUAGGUAAAAAACACCUCUGUAAAUCCAAGAUGGAAGGAGGAUUGUCUCUCCCAAAUUGUAUAUUUUAUUGGGCCGCUAACCUGGGCUGCUAACCUCCGCGUUGUUACGUUUCUGCUGGAUGACGCACUUCCGGCAUCCAGCUGGCUUACUAUGGAGCGUGAGGAGUGUCACCCCUUCUCUAUUGGUGCUGUGAUUUUGUCGCCUGUCAAUCUGGAGAUGUCACUUUAUUGUAACAAUCCUAUUAUACAUAGCACAGUCCGAAUAUGGAAGCAAAUUAAAGUCCACUUUGAGCUUAGACCAAUGUCAUUCAUGCUCCCUGUCGCCAGGAAUCCCUCCUUUGCCCCUUCUAACCUUGAUAACACCUUUGAGCGAUGGGGGGAGCUGGGGAUAAGUACCAUAGGGGAUUUAUACAUAGAAGGGACCUUUGCUUCCUUUGAGUUGCUGAGGGAAACACAAUUUUUUCAGAUACCUACAAAUUAGAGACUACGUUAGAAAACACCUCCCAACAUUUGGGAAUGCUAAACCUUCCAUGUUUGACAGAUGCAUAAAAAUAUGCCCCACCUCAGAUAAACUGAUAUUGAUAUAUGAUGCUUUUCAAUCUGUUAGCACACCUUCUACAGAUGCCAUCAAGGCAAAAUGGGAGGAAGAACUAGGGACUGACAUUUCUGUGGCAGACUGGGAAGAGAGCUUGGAGUAUAUCCACACAUGCUCCAUUAAUUCCAGACAUCGUCUCAUACAAUUCAAGGUCAUUACCUGGACCAGAAGAGGCUAAAACAGGGCCUGUACCGCCACCCAUGGGAUGACAUCUCCUAUGUGCUUCCUGAACACAUGUCAAUGUAACUGAUGACAGCGAGUCGGCACCUCUGGAUGUCAACACUCGGAUAUGACGGGAAGCAUUUUCACCUUAUCACUUCAACAACCUCUGCCUUUGGGCAGGGUAAAUCCAGAGGUGGGGGGGAUAUGGGGGAAGAGGGGAGCGUUAGUUUUAUUAGGUCACUAAAGAAAAAGGGAAUAAUUUACGUUAUUUAAGUUAUGAGUUCAAUCGUUAACAAAAAAAAGGAGCCGAACCAAUGCAAGCUGCAGCUGUGGUCACACUAGGUGACUGGGAAAACUAGGUCACCGGUUCACAAAUGGGAUAGUGGCUUUUGACCAUGCCACCUGGUUGUUUGGUCCAUCGCCUACUCGCUUAUAUUUUAUUUUCAUAUCUCUUACUAAACUCUCAAACGAUUAACAGUUGGUUGAGCUGUAUAAUAUAGGGCUAGCCCUGCUUUAGGCCUCUAGGGUGUGUGCUGUUGAAAGUUAGCAUGCUUUCUGGGUGACUUGGUAAUGCACAUAACAUGAACACCGGCUUGCCUAUGGAGAAGUAGUCUUGGUCGGUAAACCUGCAUCCCUCAAUGGAGUGUAAGCCUUGAACGAUCCACCGUCAUGUACAUUACAAAACCAAAGUAUUGUGUGAGGUUUUAUUUACACAUUUAAUCUAGUUUCCGACCUUAAUCCCCUUCCAAAGUUGUGUAGCCUAUUAUGGUGUGUACUCUGUGGCUGUUCAAGAUAAGGGGGCACGGUUUAACUAGCUGAAUGUUAGUGUUGAUUUGCCACUGCCUUUUUUUUUUUUUUUAGGAUCCCAAUUAUCUGUUGCAAAAGCAACAGCUACUCUUCCUGAUGUCCUUUCUCAUCCCCUCUGUCAUUGGACGAAACGAUCAUGUUAACUUUAUUUUCAUCCAUUUAGAUUUCAAGAAAUUACAAAUGUGUUAUUUUAAAAUGUUUCAAAAUAAAGGAAAAGGCAAUAAACAGUCCUACUUUUGAAGGGGUUAAUUGCUUUAAAAUGUGAGUCUUAAAUGCAUCUUUUGCGAGGGACCAUGAAGGCAGUGUAUUUUAUCUGGGAAAAUAGUGUCUGAUUUGCACGUUAUGUCUAGAUUAUUGCUACCAGUAGCCAUUUUUCUUUGUCCUCAAUGUUCUGUGACAGGCAUGUUUGUACUUCGUUUUAUUUAAAUGUGAAUUAAAAAUGCUUCUUAGUUUAUUAAAACCAAGCAUGUCUAACUUUUCA